UACAGAGGUCUCAAGCGUUGUUCGGAUUCAUUGGGCGUAAAGGGUGCGUAGGUGGUGCUGUAAGUCAGGUGUGAAAUCUCGGGGCUCAACCCCGAAACUGCACUUGAUACUGCAGUGCUUGAGGACUGGAGAGGAGAUCGGAAUUCAUGGUGUAGCAGUGAAAUGCGUAGAUAUCAUGAGGAAGACCAGUGGCGAAGGCGGAUCUCUGGACAGUUCCUGACACUGAGGCACGAAAGCGUGGGGAGCAAACAGG
rnacentral:rRNA from 1 species